rnacentral:tRNA from 1 species
UUUCAUUAGGUGUUUGCACGAUAAAAUUUGAAUUUAUAGGAAAGCUUGUGCUUAAUGAAAGC